rnacentral:lncRNA from 1 species
UUUCUUUUAUUUUCUUUUCUUUCUUUUUUCUUUUUUUCUCUUUUUCUUUUUUUCUUUUUUUUUUCAGCUUUCAAAAUUUUGAAAAUUUGCCCCAGUUUAUUUUUAAUUGAGGCUUUCUUUUGUUCAUUUCCUUUUCUUUCGACUUUCCUAAAAAAAAUUGAGUUUACCCCAGUGUGGGGUUUUCUCUCUUUUCUUUUCUUUCAAAAACUAAAUUUGCCCCAGUGUGGGGUUUGCGAUUCUCAGAGGUUGCCAAACGAAAUGAUCUAUUCUGAAGGCUCAAAAGGAAUGACUAAGGAUAAAAUGUCUCAAUGGGAAAGGAAGAAGGCCUGACUUUCAUUCCAUUCUUUGCAUUAACCCUUGAAAGGAAACUUUCAUUUAUCAGAUGAAGAAUUUCUUACACACAUAUUCGAAUUGAUCGGUUGAGGAAAAAUUUGUCCACUCCACUUCUGCGAGAACUAGUACUCUGC